GUCCUGCUCAGUGCAGUUUGUUGUUUCUCUGUUUCCUCUCUGAAGGGUGAAUAUGGCCAGAGUUGUCAUAUUUGCAGUCAUUUUGCUUUUGGAGAAAGGUCAUGGUGAAGACAGUGGUGUUACACAGCAUCCACACAUUCUCUGGGCUCCUGUAGGGACUUCUGGCCAGAUGAACUGCAGUCACAAUAAGGGCAUCACCUACUACCAAAUGUACUGGUACCACCAGCGCCCAGGGGAGAACAUGCAGCUCAUUGUGUUUACAGGUUCAGGAGUUACAGCUGACUUUGGGAAAUUAAACCCAAGUAAUUAUGAGGUUAUAAACCCUAAUGCUGAAAGUGGAUCUUUCGUAAUAAAAAGUCUGAAGCCAGAAGACAGUGGUGUGUAUUUCUGCGCAGUGAGUGAACACAGUGAUGCAGACUGAUUGCACAGCUGUACAAAAGAAUGAAUAUUUAGGUCAUGUUUUAUCCACGUUGCAGUACGUAAUCUCUCCUGUAGGGGGGCCUGCAACCCAACUAACAACUAUCAGAUGCUUUGAGCAAGCAUACUGAAUUUAAUCUCUGCCGAACUAUGAAUUUAGGAUGUUUAAUUGGAAGUACAAGUCUCAUCGACAUUUUUUAUAACCCAAUAUAAGUCUAAUAACUCCAGCUAAGCCAAAUUUGAAGUUAGAUUACAACUGUCCUGGUAUUUUCCCAGUUUGAAUCCCGAGACUCCACUCUCUGUGUUUGCCUGUCCCCCCAUUUCAGGUGGGUUUCCUCUUUCUACCUCCGUUUUUAGCUACAAUUCAAAGGCAGCCCCUUAGGCUAAUUGGCAUCUCUAGAUUGUGUGCAGUGAGUGACUGUGAAUGCGAGUGUUUACAUGUAUGUGCC